rnacentral:rRNA from 1 species
UACGUAGGGUGCAAGCGUUGCCCGGAUUUAUUGGGCGUAAAGGGCGCGUAGGCGGCUCUGCACGUCCGUUGUGAAAUCGCCCGGCUCAACUGGGCGGGGUCAGCGGAUACGGCAGAGCUUGAGCAAGCUAGGGGGCAAUGGAAUUCCCGGUGUAGUGGUGGAAUGCGUAGAUAUCGGGAGGAACACCAGUGGCGAAGGCGGAUGCCUGGGGCUUUGCUGACGCUGAUGCGCGAAAGCGUGGGGAGCGAGUCCGG